UACGAAGGGGGCUAGCGUUGCUCGGAAUUACUGGGCGUAAAGGGCGCGUAGGCGGAUAUUUAAGUUAGAGGUGAAAGCCCAGGGCUCAACCCUGGAAUAGCCUUUAAUACUGGAUAUCUUGAGUUCGGGAGAGGUGAGUGGAAUGCCGAGUGUAGAGGUGAAAUUCGUAGAUAUUCGGCGGAACACCAGUGGCGAAGGCGACUCACUGGCCCGAUACUGACGCUGAGGCGCGAAAAGCGUGGGGGAGCAAACAGG
rnacentral:rRNA from 1 species